AUUUUCUGAUAUAGUGCCCGUCUUUUGAAACACUCAGACCAGCGAUAAAGAAGCUUAUGUAUGCCAUCAGAAGAAAAAAAAAGUUUUUGGUUCUGUGACAAUCCGCGCACAGCUGCUUUCCAUUGGACCAAACAGGUUAUAGAUGGAACAUCAUCAGGACGAUAUGGAUGAUAGUUGGACACCUCAAAGUUGUCGGCGGUUUCUUUCAACGGUGUGGGCGGCAAUGUGAGGACAGGCAUAUUAAUUCUACUACAACUGGCCGGUCAAGUUAGAAAGUAUUUCACAAUUACGUAAAGUGUUCGUGCGUCUACCUACGCGCAAAAUAAACAGUGCAGUCAACACAACAAACUGUAAAAUCAAUCACUGCGGAAACUUUCUGAAUCACCCUCGUAAUUAAGGAGGUUCUCUUCACAGAUAUUUAUCGAUGUAGGCAUUAGUGGAGUGUACGACCCAUGUCGAUACCAACAGAACCGGAACAUUGACCUUGGCGCCCCUGUACGGGAUCGUGGCAGAGCCCCACUGAGAGGACCGGAAGAGGCCGGUGGUCCUGCGGCGAGGCAGCUUGUCGUAGUGCCCCUCAGGGACACGGGACCCGCUGUGUGGGACCGCCACCCGAUGCUCCCAGUGUCUGCGGCAGCAAACGUGGCGUCAGGCAGAUGCAGUGAAGUGAGUGGCCUCAAAGAGAAAGGAGAAGAGAAACUGAACGCCGAGGUAGGAGAGGCUGUUCACUGCAUGGAGGUGAGUUGUCAGCGUCCCUGCCCGGGAGAGAACUCAUCGAAUGCAGCGACGCGUGGCGUUCUUUGCACAGUGACUGCGACAUUGCUGGUUUUUCGGCGUGUGUGCCCCAGACCUUCGGGUAGUCUAGUCACAGGGGCUGCUAACACAAUCGGCUAGACCUACCCUUGUCUGCAGAGUGUCAUCGUAUAGACACAGACGCCACUUGCAAUUUCCUUGCCUCUUUGCUAUUGAGUUAAAGUAAUUUCAAGACAAAAGUUUCAUACGUAACUGAUGUUGCUGGCUUUGGAAAUGCACAAUGCCAGUGGAAUCAUCAAGCAAUUGCCCUCGUCAUAAUUUGCCUCACGACCACUUUACUGAAAUGCACAAGCAGCCUCAAAAGCGCGCAGGUUUGUGGCUGGCGCGCGCUUCUUACGACCCUCAGCCUCAUCCCCGAGGUCUAUCAACGUCCCUACCCUGAAGAUGGCUGUCUUCUGGGCUGUUGCGCCGGUUAGGCACCGCUCAUUCCUGCGCUACGCUUAUUUUAAAGCG